rnacentral:misc_RNA from 1 species
GAUGAAGAACGCAGCGAAAUGCGAUAAGUUAUGUGAAUUGCAGAAUUCAGUGAAUCAUCGAAUCUUUGAACGCACAUUGCGCCCGCGAGUAUUCUCGCGGGCAUGCCUGUCCGAGCGUCAUUUCAACCCUCAGGGCCCGCCUGCUUGCAGGCGCGGCGCUGGUGUUGGGGAUCGGCUACCCUGCCGUCCCCCAAAUACAGUGGCGGUCUCGCUGCAGCCUCCCCUGCGUAGUAGCAACACUCGCAUGCGGAGCGCGGCGCGGCCACGCCGUAAAACCCCCGACUUUCUGAACGUUGACCUCGGAUCAGGUAGGAAUACCCGCUGAACUUAAGCAUAUCAAUAAGCGGAGGA